UGAGCCAAGUUUAGGGUUUUCUCAAAACCCAAGCAGUAUUGAACUGAAGAGUUUGAUCAUGGCUCAGAUUGAACGCUGGCGGCAGGCCUAACACAUGCAAGUCGAGCGGAUGAAGGGAGCUUGCUCC
rnacentral:rRNA from 1 species